CCUGCCCAAUGAGGAAUUAAAUGGCCGCAGUAUUUUGACUGUGCAAAGGUAGCAUAAUUAUUAGUUUUUUAAUUGAAAGCUUGUAUGAAGGGUUGGACGAGAUAAAAUCUGUCUUUAUUUAAAUUACAAUAGAAUUUAACUUUUAAGUCAAAAGGCUUAAAUGUAUAUAAAAGACGAGAAGACCCUAUAGAUCUUUAUUUAAUUAAUAUUUUGAUAAUUUAAGAUUAUUUUAGUUUAAAGUUUUAAUUAAAUUUUAUUGGGGUAAUAUAAAGAUUAAAUAAAUUCUUUUUAUUUAUUACAUUGAUUUAUGAAUAUAUGAUCCAAUAUUAUUGAUUAUAAGAUUAAGUUACCUUAGGGAUAACAGCGUAAUUUUUUUGGAGAGCUCAUAUCGAUAAAAAAGUUUGCGACCUCGAUGUUGGAUUAAAAAUUAGCUUGGGUGCAGAAGCUCAAGAUUUUGGUCUGUUCGACCAUUAAAUUUUUACAUGAUCUGAGUUCAGACCGGCGUAAGCCAGGUCGGUUUCUAUCUUUAUUUAUCUAAAAUAUUUUAGUACGAAAGGACCAAAUAUUUAAUAUAAUUAUAUUUAUUUUUUGAAUAAUAUU
rnacentral:rRNA from 1 species